CAUGCCGCGUGAGUGAAGAAGGCCUUCGGGUUGUAAAGCUCUUUCGCAAGGGAAGAAAACGGCAGGGUUAAUACCUUUGUCGGAUGACGGUACCUUGACAAGAAGCACCGGCUAACUACGUGCCAGCAGCCGCGGUAAUACGUAGGGUGCGAGCGUUAAUCGGAAUUACUGGGCGUAAAGCGUGCGCAGGCGGUUUUGUAAGACAGAUGUGAAAUCCCCGGGCUUAACCUGGGAACUGCGUUUGUGACUGCAAGGCUAGAGUACGGCAGAGGGGGGUGGAAUUCCACGUGUAGCAGUGAAAUGCGUAGAUAUGUGGAGGAACACCGAUGGCGAAGGCAGCCCCCUGGGCCUGUACUGACGCUCAUGCACGAAAGCGUGGGGAGCAAACAGGAUUAGAUACCCUGGUAGUCCACGCCCUAAACGAUGUCAACUAGUUGUUCGGAGAGGUAACUUUCUGAGUAACGCAGCUAACGCGUGAAG
rnacentral:rRNA from 1 species